rnacentral:rRNA from 1 species
GAUGAACGCUGGCGGCGUGCCUAACACAUGCAAGUCGAGCGAAGCGGGGACGGGGGAGUAACACGUGGAUAACCCCCUAUAUGACUGGGAUAACCUCGGGAAACCGGAGCUAAUACGGCUACUUAUAGAUGGUUCCGUGCUGCAUUAGCUAGUUGGUAAGGUAACGGCUUACCAAGGCCACGAUGCAUAGCCGACCUGAGAGGAGGAUCGGCCACACUGGAACUGAGACACGGUCCAGACUCCUACGGGAGGCAGCAGUAGGGAAUAUUCCGCAAUGGGCGAAAGCCUGACGGAGCCACGCCGCGUGGGUGAUGAAGGUCUUCGGAUCGUAAAGCUCUGUCAUCAGGGAAGCGUUACCUGAUCAAGAAGCCACGGCUAACUACGUGCCAGCCGCCGCGGUAAUUC